AUACGGAGGAUGCGAGCGUUAUCCGGAUUUAUUGGGUUUAAAGGGUGCGUAGGUGGUCAAUUUAAGUCAGCGGUGAAAGCUUGUGGCUCAACCAUAAAAUUGCUGUUGAAACUGGUUGACUUGAGUAUAUUUGAGGUAGGCGGAAUGCGUGGUGUAGCGGUGAAAUGCAUAGAUAUCACGCAGAACUCCGAUUGCGAAGGCAGCUUACUAAACUAUAACUGACACUGAAGCACGAAAGCGUGGGGAUC
rnacentral:rRNA from 1 species